UCGCCUGUUUAACAAAACAUAGUUUAAAGAAAAAAAAUUUUAGAUAAAUUCUGCUCAAUGAGUAAGUUAAAUAGCUGCAGUAAAUUAACUGUACUAAGGUAGCAUAAUAAGUUGCUUUAUAAUUAAAAGCUUGAAUGAAAGAAAUAAUGUGAAAGAAGCUUUUUAAACUAAAAUAGUGAAAAUUAAUAUUUAAGUGAAAAAUCUUAAAUAGAAUCAAAAGACAAGAAGACCCUUUAGAACUUUACAAAUUGAUUUAAUAUCAUUUAGUUAAUUUGUUAAAUUGGGGAGAUUUUUAAAUAAAUAAAUCUUUAGAUAUAAAAAAAUGAUUUAAAUCAGAUUAAAUUAUCCAAAUGUGAAAUAAAACAAGUUACCUAAGGGAUAACAGCGCAAAAUUUUUGAGAAGUUCUCAUUUACAAAAUAAAUUGCGACCUCGAUGUUGGAUUAAGAACAACUUAUAAAGAAAAAUUAUAAGAGGUUGUCGUUCGCA
rnacentral:rRNA from 1 species